rnacentral:tRNA from 1 species
GGGCACUUGGCGCAGUGGUAGCGCGCCCGCUUUGCACCGUGCGUGAUUGCGGAAGGCCGUGGGUUCAAUCCCCACAGUGUCCA